GUAUACACACGGGCUCAUGUGGCCUCCGGCCCUCUGCUCCGGAAAAACCAAGGCCAUGGAAAAAGUAACGCAGGCCUUUCAGAGAAGAGCCAGCAUCCAAGAAUGCAGUGUUUGGGUUGGCUGCCCAUCUGCAGCCCUCGGGAGAGAUGCUCUGCUCUGAUGCUCCGGUAGGCUCCGAGGCCUGGUCUCCCCGAAGAAGUGCCUUUUCCUGGAAGAAGUGGCAGUCCCACUGGCCCUAGCACACUGGGUAGAGCCCAUCGUACACUAGGCAGCAAAAUUCUAAGUGAGGAAAUACAAGAUUCACUUCUCAAGGACCCAGCUGUGGAGGUUUUAACAGAUAAUCAGCAUGCAACACACUGGAUAUUAAGUGGCCACGAAAGCAUCCUCCUGUGUUCUUCUAGAAGCCUUAUGGAAAUGAGUGCUUUCUGAACUGGCCUCUGAGAAAGCCUCACAGGGCCCUGAGGAGAAAGGGUGAGCCCCAGCCGCAGCACCUCCAGCCCCUUUCAUUUCCAGCUCAACUGAAGCCCCCUCUUCGUUUCAUUUUAACUAAAAUUUCAUUCAA